GACAGAGGGUGCAAACGUUGUUCGGAAUUACUGGGCGUGAAGCGCGUGUAGGCUGCUCGGAAAGUCGGAUGUGAAAGCCCUGGGCUCAACCUAGGAAGUGCAUUCGAAACUUCCGAGCUGGAGUGCUGGAGAGGAAGGCGGAAUUCUCGGUGUAGAGGUGAAAUUCGUAGAUAUCGAGGGGAACACCGGUGGCGAAGGCGGCCUUCUGGACAGCGACUGACGCUGAGACGCGAAAGCGUGGGGAGCAAACAGG
rnacentral:rRNA from 1 species